rnacentral:lncRNA from 1 species
AGUUUAUUGGGUAGCUCAUCCAGACCCCUCAACUAAACUAGUUUUCUAUUGGCUAAUUUCAGCAAACGCCUUCGGGAACCCAGCGCUAGAUGUUCAACUGGAAGGGCCGAGAAUAGCGAGCAGCUAGGCUGAUAUAGCCAUGGCGCCGCCUCCUGCCUCGGGGAGGAACUGAAUUCUGUCCAAGCAUACUUUAUUUUUAAGCUUGGUUGCUUUCUUAGUUCUUAAAACAAUGAUUGAGCGCCCACUAACUUCUGGGCAGUAUUUUGGUUGCUAAGGAGAGACCACCAAUCUAUCCCUGCCCUCAAGGAACUAAAGAGAAACUGAGAUAUGUUCAGCACCCAGAAGGAGAGGACUUUAAGGCAAGGAAUGACGAAGAGAGGGUCGUGUGAUAGACAAGCAGAAGGAAGGCAGGAGGAGGGCACCGAGGAGAGAAAGGACUAAGGACACAGUUUAAGGACAUCCAUGUUUGGAAACGCCACAAUGUGUCCCAUCACACUGUAAGGACUUAAGAUGCCUUCUUUGAUCAUACACCAUUUAGGACAUGGAAGAUUUUCAGGACCUGAAUUCAGCUCUUGGCACCCACAUCAGGUGGCUGACCUGUAACUCCAG